rnacentral:lncRNA from 1 species
UGCUUUUCUUUGGUUUUUUUUUCAGAUAGAUACAUUGUACAUUGGUUCCAUUCUUGUAUAACAUGUCCCAUCUGAUGAAAGUGAUAAGGACUUUUGGAAAGUAUCCGGUUUGUUCAUAACCUUGUGAGAGUUUCUUUAGGUUUGACUACAUUUUCUUAACAGUUUCAAGAGUAGAGUUGAAUGUCAGGGCAAUUUCAGCUACAAACCUCUUUGGCACUUUACAAGUUUUCUCAUGGUUCCAAAAAUCUUACUAGUAUAUACAGCAUGAAGUAUAUUAAAAAAAAAAAAAACAAAAAAAAAAAAAAAAAAAAAACAAAAAAACAAAAAAAAACAAAAAAAAACCAAAAAAACAAACAAAAAAACCCCAACAAGAAGUAGAAUCUGGCAGAGCCUAAUUUAAAUUUCUACUCUGAGAUACUGGUCUGGAAAACCUUCCUUGACAUACCAGCUGGUAUCUGUCUUUCAGCACGCCAAAACCAACAGCACACCAUCUUAAUCGUUCAAUAUGUCUCUUUGGAAAAGCACAACAGUUUACAAGUCUGAGUUGGCAAACUCAGUUGUGGAUGAGGGUAGGUGUGCAGAGUAGGGAUAAACAGAAAGGAAAAGAACAGAACAAAGCUGGGCAGUAACUUCUGUUCCAAACUGUGAAAGACUGAAAUAGCUGAACUGGUUUAUGACUAGUAUUAUAGGCAGUGCACUGUUUCAUUUAUCAUUAAGCAAAAUGAUGUAAUAAAAUCACAAGUCCACUGAAAAUGUGAAAGUGUGUCAGUUUGGUUUCAUUGAAGUUCUUCUUUAGGAUAAGGGGUAUUGAGCAAUCGCACAGCUUUCUUUGUAUGUUUAAAAUGUGUGCUCAAGAGUUCAUGGCUGCAUCUGAUCAGUUUAUCAAGGCAUUACUGCAAAUUUGUCCAAAAUAAUCUAGAUCUAUUACUGUCACUUACACUGACACAUCAUGAUUCAUUAGUACUAUUACAGAUGAUAGUGCAGAGUAUUUCACUUAGCACUCUGUAUCACUACCCUUUCCUAAUCUUAGUUGUUCUUAACUAGGAGAGGAGUUGGGUCAGCUCAUUGGUUUUAUCAGCACUGUGGCCUAUGACUUUUACAAACUCCAGAACUGCUCCCUUUCAAAAAGGAGUAAAGCCAGGGGGACACUUAUAUUUUAAUAUAACUGAAGAAUAUCAUAAGUGGCUGAAAAAUCUGCUAGGAUACACUGCCAGUUUAGCAGUUCCUUCACAAUGCAGGUGAAGGCAUUUGGGAAAGCUUUGUCAAAGUGUUUUUGAAAAUAAUUUGUUAUAGUGCUGUUAGGUACUUUUAAUGUCCAGGAGUUCACACUGAACUCCUGAUUCAGUGUGAAAAUAG